rnacentral:lncRNA from 1 species
AGAAAGAAAACCAAAUUACUCCCUCUAAAAUCCUUCUCAGCAUCAGGGGAUGAUGCCAGCUAUAACCCAGCAAACACUGCUCUACAGCUGGACGAAACAAAGAGGGGAAUGAGUUAGCCGAUGUAAACAACCAAACAAGGGCUGUCAGUCUUUAUAAAGACGAUGAACCAAACGUUUUUGCAGAGCCUGUGAUCUUCUCCCAAACAUUGUGGCUUUUCCUCCUGCAGCUGCUCAGCAGACCAUCCGCAUCCCCAAAACUCUUGGAGUCGGCCCAAGGCUGGCUAAAAACCAACGGGCCAGUGGUCAUCUGUAGCUUACAGCAUGCCCUGGCGUGGUGGAGUCGAGAUGAUGCCAUUACACUGCACCUCAAGGCUCUGGCCUGUCCAAAAGUCAAUACUGCUAUGACAACAUUGCUGGUCAAAGCUGCCCUCNCAGCUCACAUACUGGAGAACCUGGAAUUCAAGAACCAGGCCAGUGAUGAAGACAUCCACUUCACUUCCCAAGAGCUGAGAUCCUCACGGUUGGCUGUUCAGACACUGCUUGCUCAACACGGAAUGNUGCCCGUGAUCAGUCUGGAGUGACGGCUGGUGGGAAGCAAGAGUCAUCCUACUUGGGGCUGGGGGGAGUUGAUUUAUUGUUUGUUUUAUCUUGUUUUGGUGAAUCACAGAGAACUUUUUAAAAAUAAACAAACCAGUAUGGAGAAGGAGCUGACUGUA